rnacentral:rRNA from 1 species
CAGGCCUAACACAUGCAAGUCGAACGGCUCUUCGGAGCAGUGGCGCACGGGUGAGUAACGCGUGGGAACGUACCAUUUAGUAGGGAAUAGCUCCGGGAAACUGGAAUUAAUACCCUAUACGCCCUCCGGGGGAAAGAUUUAUCGCUAAAUGAUCGGCCCGCGUGACAUUAGCUAGUUGGUGGGGUAAAAGCCUACCAAGGCGACGAUGUCUAGCUGGUCUGAGAGGAUGAUCAGCCACACUGGGACUGAGACACGGCCCAGACUCCUACGGGAGGCAGCAGUGAGGAAUAUUGGACAAUGGGGGAAACCCUGAUCCAGCCAUGCCGCGUGAAUGAUGAAGGCCUUAGGGUUGUAAAGUUCUUUCGCUGGUGAAGAUAAUGACGGUAACCAGUAAAGAAGCCCCGGCUAACUUCGUGCCAGCAGCCGCGGUAAUACGAAGGGGGCUAGCGUUGUUCGGAAUCACUGGGCGUAAAGCGCGCGUAGGCGGAUUUGUAAGUCAGAGGUGAAAGCCCGGGGCCCAACCCCGGAAUUGCCUUUGAAACUACAAGUCUAGAAUCUCGGAGGGGGUAGUGGAAUUCCAAAUGUAGGGGUGAAAUCCGUAGAUAUUUGGAGGAACACCGGUGGCGAAGGCGGCUACCUGGACGAGUAU